CGCUAACACUCCUACGGGAGGCAGCAGUGAGGAAUCUUGCGCAAUGGAGGAAACUCUGACGCAGCCACGGCCGCGUGCCGGAAGACGGCCCUAUGGGUUGUAAACGGCUUUUAUUUGGGAAGAACCUGGGGGAUUUGUCCCCCACUGACGGUACCAAUUGAACAAGCACCGGCUAACUCCGUGCCAGCAGCCGCGGUAAUACGGAGGGUGCAAGCGUUGUCCGGAAUCAUUGGGUGUAAAGGGGUGCGCAGGCUGGCGCCUAAGUCGGAGGUGAAAUCUUGCCGCUUAACGGUAAAAUUGCCCCCGAUACUGGGUGUCUUGAAUCUGACAGAGGUCGGUGGAAUUCGUGGUGUAGCGGUGAAAUGCAUAGAUAUCACGAAGAACAUCAGUGGCGAAGGCGGCCGGCUGGGUCAGUAUUGACGCUGAGGCACGAGAGCGUGGGGAGCGAACAGGAUUAGAUACCCUGGUAG
rnacentral:rRNA from 1 species